rnacentral:rRNA from 1 species
UACGUAGGGGGCUAGCGUUGUCCGGAAUCAUUGGGCGUAAAGAGCGUGUAGGCGGCCCGGUAAGUCCGCUGUAAAAGUCAAAGGCUCAACCUUUGAAUGUCAGUGGAUACUGCCGGGCUAGAGUCCGGAAGAGGCGAGUGGAACUCCUGGUGUAGCGGUGGAAUGCGCAGAUAUCAGGAAGAACACCAACGGCGAAGGCAGCGCGCUGGGACGGUACUGACGCUGAGACGCGAAAGCUAGGGGAGCAAACAGG